GAGAAAUAAAAGAAGGCUGCAGCUAGCAGAAAGUCAUUAAAGAGCGCCGAGCCGAGGAGCUGCUUGCGGGGACAGCGACAGAGGAAAGGCCGGAGCAGGUGCUGUUUGUGAAAGAGACUUGUACAUUGUCCCUGGGUCAGUGAAGGAGCGAUUGAGCAGACAGGAGCUCAGAGUUGAGGCCUCCGCUUGCACCAACGAGGAAGAGAAGGGACUUUCAGAUGGGAGAGGAAGGACCGACUUGUGUAAACGCCAGUGCUGAACCUGUCCUCUCGCCAAAUCCAACGUGGCUGUUUAAUGAGCAACCUCGAAAUUCUACGUGGUGUUCCUGGAGAACUUUUCCGAUGCCGUAUCAGUGUCCAUGGAACCGAUUCUGGCAAGCAGGCAUGAGGACUAAAACUGUGAAUGACAGAAGAAACAGUAAAACUUUAUUACAGAAAAUCUUUCUUCCUUUUUUCAUAGGACUAUCUGGCUGGUAUAGACAUGUGUUGGGAGUUAUCUUACGUACAUCACCAACCCUGACAUACAAGGUACCGGUAAAUGAAGAAGCUACUGUAGGAGCAGAGAAGGCAAAUAUUUGUUUCCUCAGAAGUAAGCGUGGGCAAACCUUCCUCACAGCUCCAUAUGCUGCCAGCUGCCAAUCAAGUAGCCUGGAACCCUGAAACUAAUCGCAACCCCCUCUGCUCUGCUCUUCCUUUCCUUCAGCAGAAAUGAAAGCAGCAGUGGGGGUGGAGGUGUUUAAGGAAAAUAAAGACAUACAGUAGAGGAGAAGAAGGGGUUGAGACAAAAGCCCAGAGGAGCACGUUCUUUCUGUCCAGGCAGAGUUCAUUCUGCCUGUAAAUCUUGUUUAUGUUAUACCAUCUUUACCGUAGCUACCUAUAGUCUAAAUUGAUUGUUCUGUGUAUGUUCUUGUACUACAUAUUGAGUGCCAAAAAAAGCACUUUACUUGCAAAGUGAGGACUUUUUUUGUGAAUAGAGGACUGGCUGGUCCUCACAACUUCAAAGAGCUAUCUGAGAGUUAAGACAUGGUUUUAUGGUUGAGGCUAGAUCUGGGUUUUGGUUCGAGUUAGGGUUGGGUUUAAAGAGUUAGUUGUGAUGUAAGGUCAGGGGCUGGGUAAGGAUUUAGGUCUAUGAAAGUCCCCACAAGGAUAGAAGUACAAGAAUGUAUGUGUGCAUAUGCACGUGUGUGUGUGUGUGUGUGUGUGCGUGUGUGUGUGUAAACAUAACCGCCCAAACUGGGUGAAAUCAGCUUUGCUAAAAGGAUCCAGGUUUUGUUGUGUCCCUGGCACUGCUGUGUUUACCACAGAGUUCAUCUGUUAAUCUGUCUUAAUCUGCCAGUUCUGUCUCACGUAUGUACAUAAGAGAAAAUGCGGCUGCGGUUUAAAAAUCCCCACAUAAAAUAGACCACCUGGUUCAGUCGCUUCUGCAGUUAAGGGCCGUGACUGCAGACGCGUCACGUUUGCCAACCAAGCCGCUAACAUUUAUUUACCGCGCUAACUUGAUUGGGUUGCAAAUAAUUCAUCUGUAAGAACAUGAAAUUGAAUUCAGCACCUUUGUUGGAGCGCAGCAGAAUUUAUGUCACCAACAGAAUCUUAAAUCUGCACAAACAAUGCUUCUUUGUGUGUCCUAAAAAGGUAAAAACUGUAUUUAAGAUGAGGCACAGAAAAGAAAGAAUUGGUUUUGUUAAACCUGCAUUAAAAACCUGAAUAAUAGCCAACACAUUUGGACAUUUCCUCAACAUCAUGGACAUGGACAUGGACUGGAGCUGCUGGCCCUGUGUCCAACAAAAUGAAGUUUUAUCCAGAUUACUGGAGUAAUGCCUUUUUCAGUUACUGACAGAUCAGUAUCAAACUGUCCGCUGUUUCAAGCCUUUCUUAAGUUACCAGAUGAAAAGAAAGUAGCAAAACGCUAUUAUUUCCUUGUUUAUCUGUCCCCCAAACAAAUCAAAUGGCUACACAUUAUCUCUGUGUGGUUUGGAGUCUGCCUGUGGUAGUGCUGCUGCCCCAAUGUCACUUUAGCUGCAGACCCCAACAUUAUUCCAAUUCAGAUCAGAAAUACCUGAAGUUUCUUGUUACCUUUCAAUAGAUAUGAUUUUCAGGUAUUUCAACCUAUGCCUUGUCAUGUAUCUCUCACACACACACACACACACACACACACACACACACACACACACACACACACACACACACACACACACACACACACACACACGCGCACACACACACACACACACACACACACACACACUCUCCUUUUAUCAUCAUUAGAUGUGUGUGUAAAUGAUCCGGUCUUUGUGAGGUUAAUUGAAGGCAGGAGCUCUGACUGUCUGAGACAUAAGCUGCCUGCAUGAAUACUGUGCGUGCGUGUGUAUCACACACAUGCACAGCAAUUCAUCUCUCCACCUCCAUGUGCUGCUCUUUUAGGAAUGGAGUGGAGAUGGAGUUCUUUGAAAUUUGGGGCGUUUCAAGGGAGUUUUUCUCUUUUUUUGAAGCGAUACCAGGAGGCUUGCUGUUCUCUCAAAUUAAUGUGCAUCAUUCACAUAUCAUUCAUUUUUACACGCAUAAACCCUCCACGCACAGUCACACACAAUCCUACACACACACACACAAUCCUACACACACACACACACACACACACACACACACACACACACACACACACAAACAUCCUGCAGAUGCCACACAAAGCAGGUAAUCAGCUCACUAACAUUAUGAGGUUAAAGGAAGGAAGUUAAGAAUUCCAGCUAGAUUCGUUCUCCCAUUUUUUUUAAAAACUGGAUUAGCACCCACAGGGUGCUCAGGGGUAAGAGGUCCUCACAAGGUUAACUUUCCCUCACUAGUGUGAACAAACAGCCCGCUGUUUUCUGUCUUGACCCAUAAAGGGGACUUUUUUAACAAAUAUUGGAAGAAUAGCAUUAAAUGUUGCAUUGCAUGCACACAUUAAAUAUAUAGACCCUCAUAACUAAUCAACAAGGCGUACAUAUGCUCUCUGUGCUGUGGAGGUCUGUUGGGGUUAAUUUGCAAAGCAUUCAUUACUUUAUUAUCACGUCAUGUCUUUAUUCACUUGAUGCUCAACGUGCCACAUGCAGAAUAUUAUAACACCAUAAUUGCUGACACUUCAACUGCAAGAUUUUUUUCCUUUAAAUGAAGUGAUGGUGUGUUUUCCAUUGUCGCGGAUGACAAGGAAGGAGACACAAGAGUUAAUUAACUAUGAUUAGCAACAAAGUCAAUGAACAGGCCGGGUUUCUAGCUGAAUACACUGCUCUGUAAUUGCUUCCUUUUCCUCUCCAUUCAUUGCUACCAUCUUCCGCGCUGUCAAUCCAUAGGAACUUUCUUUUAUUAAAGAAGAGGGCUGGAGAGCCCUCUGCUGUCUGACUACGGAAUUACAGGGGCAAACAUCAAAGGAGUGAAAUACACCCCAUUUAUGCUAGGGUUUAAUUAAAAAUUGUAAGAAAAAAAAAGAGUAAGAGUUUGAUUAAUAAAAACAAUAUGAACCAGCAUGUAAGAGUAAGUAAAUAAUAGAUAUUAAAGGUUCAUUGUUGCCAUAAUCAAAACUGCAACUGUGGGUCUGCAUGCCUAACAGAUGCCUUACACUUCUAUUCUAACAUCUUUGGUAUCCCUUAGAGCCAAUCUACAGCACGAAUGCACUCCUAGAAGAAACCAACAGUGGAAUAGACUUGGGUCUGUCUGCCUUGCAGUACUAAAGACUAAUUCUGUCUACUUCCAGUCAAUAUUAUCUGGGAGCCAUAAGAGGGUCCCAGGUUUGAUUCUAGGUCAAGGGUUAGAAUGCAUGCUCUCUCUGUGCCCAUGUGGGUUUUCUUCAGGCCCUCCUUUUUUCAAAAGUCUACAAACAUGUACAGUAAGUUUGGAGAGAGACUCAAACUAACUUCUAAGUGUGAGUGCAUGAGAGGAAGGUACGUCCUGAUGAUCACCCCAGCACCUCUCAUGGCUCUGAUUACGAAUAAACAGUAGUUAAUGGAAAAUUGAUGGAUGUUGUGUUCUGAUCUUAUCGUGAACAGAGAAAAGAACAGCAGAUGCUCUUCUGUGAGUAAAUGGUGCUCAUACAUAGGUUGAGAGGCAGUUUAACGCCGUGUUGAAAUAAACAGCUCCCCCUAUAGCUCAUUUCUCGCAUUGCAGCCUGCUCUUUCAACACAAGUGGUUCCUCCACUAAGAGCUUAACCCCAGCCCUGCUUUCAAGCCUUUAAAACUUCACAAUUAGGUUUGAAUUAUCAUCAUCAUCGACAUUAAUAUUGACAUUACUGUAAUUGCUGAAAUAUGAAAGCAUGAAAAUCACAUUGCUGCAGACAGUUUUAAAGGCUCUAAAUCUGGUAUGCUGUUUUUCAAAUACAACCCUAUUUAAUAAUUUAUUGGACAUUGUGUGAAAGAACCUAUUUGAUUAUCCAUAUUUCAUGCAUAGUGCACGUCAUCCUCUGUGAACUACUAUAGCAUAUAGGACCAAGAGUCUAUAUGAAGCAUUUCAAUAAUUCAACAUGUUCUGUUUGAUCGCUCUCGCCCUCUCUCUCUCCGUGUGUGUGUGUGCCUGUAUAAAUUCAACCUCAUGCAGGGAAGUGCAAGCUUCACAGUGUUGGCUGGUAUGAAGGGUUCACUGAUGGAAGUUUUGGCUGCCUGUCCUGUUGAAGGAAUGUGGGUGGUUUUGAUGGAGUGAACAUGUCAACCUUUUCAUCUAAAGUUUGGGCUGAGUGUAGGUUGGUCAACAACGAUAAGAACCUUUAACAGAUGCAUUGACUUUGGUAUGACUGAUGGUUUUGAACAGGAAGACAUUGCCCAGAUUCCCUACAGUUUAGCUGCUCUCCUCCCGACUCAAGAUUGGCAAGUUUAAAAAAAAUAAAAUAAACCAAACAAAAAACCUCCAGUUUGUAGAACUGUAGAACUGCAUGGUAACACCAUCAGCACACUUGAAUCGAACCUGGAAACUUCUUAUUCUUGAACAAAGUCUAUGAUAUAAGAAAUUCAUCGUGAUUGACAUACUGAUAAAGUU
ensembl:lncRNA